GAGCAGUACAGAUCCCUUUGAAUAUUUAAGAAAAGUGUUAGCCUCUUUCCUCAAAUGUACAUUUCUACAAGCACACAAAAUCUGCAUAUUACUUUAGGGGAUUCAUGGAUCCCCAAGACCAAUCCAUGAAUUCAAGGCAAUAAACACAAACUGCUACAAGAAUAGAUUGUACACAGACUUCAGAGAAGAGGUAACAUCUGAGCUGGCCUUUGAAAGAUAAAUAGUAGUUCUCCAGGCAGUGAAAGGAAUUAAGGGCAUCAUGGAAGAGACAAUAUGAAGGUAGAUGCCAUAUAUGUUUACCUUGCCACUGUAUUUCUACUGUCUUACAUUGCUCCUAACGUAUAUCAUGAGCUCUUAAAUAUUUGUUGAAGAAAUGAACUAGCGUAUUUUGAUAACUAUAAUGUGUGAAGCCCCUGGUUGCGUCUGUUGCACACUGGAAUUAAGGGGUUAAAAACCUUUUCCCUUGCUGCUUGAGAAUCUGAUCUUUGGUUUAGCCACCUAGCUCUGUUACCCUGGAAACCAGGUAAGAGCUUAGGCAUCCACAAUAUUGCUAGGCAACACUGCUUACGGUAAAAAUGAUCCUUGGUUGGUAAACUGCAUCUGAACCAGGAAGAAAUAUGAAUGAGCUGUAAAUGUCUGAUAGGACACUUUGGCCUUCCCUGAAUGCAGUUUCUUCUUGGGAACCCUACAAACUAUAUCAAGAAUUGUUACAAGAGAUACUGGCUGCUUAAGGCAGGAGGCUUCUUCUGAGCCAGGGCAGCUCCCGUACCUCCCUGAUGUGGAGCUUAGGCUUUGUACCUGGAACUACGUCGUGUGGGGAGACAACAGUCCCCAGAAAGUCGCAGGUGCAGUCCAUCUCCAACAACAAACUGUAGCCCACGGCAAGAGGAAGGUACAAGCCUGACCUCUGCUGGAAGCUGGAUUUCUGUGCAGCCUUCAGGGGUUUUCAUCUGGAGUGAAGAUGGCAUUAUGGAAAUAUUCAUGGGCAUACCUCCUUCUUUCGGUUCUCUGGUAAUUAAAAACAAAACCCAAACAAAUUAUUUCUCACAAUGAAAACCACAUGAUGAAAGAAACAAAAAUGGCCAAGGAUCUCUUUCUUCCUCUUCAAUAGGAGCUCUAAAGUCACUGCCCCAGAAAAACAGCAGCAAGCAGAUCAUAAAGGAAAGCAACCUACACUAGAUUUAGAUCUGAUCAGAGUGCCCUUCACCAUCACCAUAAUAUGCAAGUCCUGGGACAGAUUUUUGGUUCUUCCUUCUGAGAAGAGCACUAAAAUAAUGUUUUAUAGUAAAUCAGAGCAAAGUACUGUUAUUUCAUAUACAAGAUUUUAAUAAAG
rnacentral:lncRNA from 1 species